GACGAACGCUGGCGGCGUGCUUAACACAUGCAAGUCGAACGGAAAGGCCCGGCUCUUGUGGGGUGCUCGAGUGGCGAACGGGUGAGUAACACGUGAGUAACCUGUCCUUGUCUGUGUGAUAACUUCAGGAAACUGGGGCUAAUACCGGAUAUGAGCUCCUGCUGCAUGGUGGGGGUUGGAGAGUUUCGGCGGUUGGGGAUGGACUCGCGGCUUAUCAGCUUGUUGGUGGGGUAGUGGCUUACCAAGGCUUUGACGGGUAGCCGGCCUGAGAGGGUGACCGGCCACAUUGGGACUGAGAUACGGCCCAGACUCCUACGGGAGGCAGCAGUGGGGAAUCUUGCACAAUGGGCGGGAGCGUGAUGCAGCAACGCCGCGUGCGGGAUGACGGCCUUCGGGUUGUAAACCGCUUUCGCAUGUGACGAAGAGUGAGUGACGGUAAUGGGUAAAGAAGCAACGGCUAACUACGUG
rnacentral:rRNA from 1 species